rnacentral:rRNA from 1 species
UACGUAGGGGGCAAGCGUUGUCCGGAUUUAUUGGGCGUAAAGAGCGUGUAGGCGGCUGGGUAGGUCCGCUGUGAAAACUCGAGGCUUAACCUCGAGACGUCGGUGGAAACCAUCCAGCUAGAGUCCGGAAGAGGAGAGUGGAAUUCCUGGUGUAGCGGUGAAAUGCGCAGAUAUCAGGAAGAACACCCGUGGCGAAAGCGGCUCUCUGAGACGGUACUGACGCUGAGACGCGAAAGCGUGGGGAGCGAACAGG